AGAAUAAUUCACAAUGGGGGCAACCCUGAUGGUGCAACGCCGCGUGGAGGAUGACGGUCUUCGGAUUGUAAACUCCUGUCAUCCGGGAGUAAGACCUGGUCGUCAAUAGCGAACAGGGUUGAUAGUACCGGAAGAGGAAGGGACGGCUACCUUCGUGCCAGCAGCCGCGGUAAUACGAAGGUCCCGAGCGUUGUCCGGAAUCACUGGGCGUAAAGGGAGCGUAGGCGGCGCGGUAAGUCAGAUGUGAAAGCCCGGGGCUCAACCCCGGAACUGCAUCCGAUACUGCCGUGCUAGAGGAUUGGAGAGGUAGCUGGAAUUCUCGGUGUAGCAGUGAAAUGCGUAGAGAUCGAGAGGAACACUCGUGGCGAAAGCGAGCUACUGGACAAUAUCUGACGCUGAGGCUCGAAGGCCAGGGUAGCGAAA
rnacentral:rRNA from 1 species